AGUAAAGUCAGCUAAUUAAGCUCCUGGGCCCAUACCCCAGCAACGUAGGUUAAAACCCUUCCUUUAUUA
rnacentral:tRNA from 1 species